rnacentral:lncRNA from 1 species
UUUUUUCAUCCAUAUUCACACUUUUUACAUUUUGUAUUGCACCUCCAUACAUUGUGUUUAGCAUAAAAAUCAAUAUUUUUUUCACUUCACAUAUAUGUAUAAAUGGUCUAAUGGUGGCAAACAUCAUGCGUAUAUACUUUAACUUAGUAUUUCUAUAUUAACAAUGAUAUAAAUAGAUAAUUUAGAAUCAUAUAUUAGUUUAAAUUUGGACAUUUAUAUACGAUGCACAUUAAGAUAAUUAGAUUAGGAUUUAAGUGUUUACUUUAGGUUAUUUUUAAUAACAACAUAUAUGGGUAACUUACAUACAAAUUUAAAAUGGCAUUUAAGUUAUGUUUUAUAGUGAUAUGCACGAGUAAAUUGGAUGAAGAUUAUGGGUUACUUUAGAUUAUUUUUUAUUAUGGUCGAGUUGGGUAAUUUAGAUUUCAUUUUAGGGUUUCUUUUAAAAUAUUUUCAUAAUGAUAGUGGUGGGUAACAUUUUAGAAAAUAUAACAUACCAAUUACUAUGUUUAUUAGAGUUUACAUGAUAAAUGUUUGAUAAUUUUGAUUUUCGAGAGAAUUUAUAGAAUUUAUCUCUUUUUUUUUCUAGCGUGUCUCAUGAGAACUAAUGUGGAGUCUCCAAUGGAAAAACAAUGAGGUCACAUUGCUACCAAACUAUUACCAUAAGCUACCUCUCAUUUAUUAAAUAUUUGAGCACAAUACUUAUAUAGAUAUAUACUUAUUAUAUUCAUCCGAUUGUGAUAUAUUUUAUUUAGUAAUUACUGUUUUCAUCCACAUUUAUAAUCUUUAACUUUUCACUUUGCAUCAUAGGUAUGCUCUUGAAUUUGUUUAAUGGACCUUAAGUUUGAGCUAUAAUUUUAACAUAGAAAUAUAUAUUAUCAUCACUUCCUUUAUAUCUUUAUAAAUGUUGACACACAUCAUGCGUAUAUACUUUAAUUAUUAUAUCAUAUAACAAUAGUGUAAAAAAUAGAUGAUUUAGAAUCAUAUAUUAGUGUAUAUUUUUCAAUAAGGUGAUUUGAAUUCAAAUGUAGGAUUACCUCAUGUUAUUUUUAAUAAUAACAUAUGUGGGUAAUAUAAAUGCAAAUUUAAGGGGUUAAUUUAAGUAAUUUU